UAGUAAAGUACAAAGGAGCUCUAUAUUAU
rnacentral:sRNA from 1 species